rnacentral:rRNA from 1 species
AGCGAACGCUGGCGGCGUGCCUAACACAUGCAAGUCGAACGUGAAAAGGGAAACCUGAGUACAGUGGCGUACGGGUGAGUCACGCGUAGGUAAUCUACCCCAGAAUCUGGAAUAACCUGCCGAAAGGCGGGCUAAUACUGGAUAGAGCGAGGGAACUCGUAAGAGAGUUUUUCGGGAAAGGGAGCCCGCAAGGGCCUUCGUUCUGGGAUGAGCCUGCGUCUCAUUAGCUAGUUGGUAAGGUAACGGCUUACCAAGGCGAUGAUGAGUAGCUGGUCUGAGAGGAUGAUCAGCCACACUGGAACUGAAACACGGUCCAGACUCCUACGGGAGGCAGCAGUGGGGAAUCUUGCGCAAUGGACGAAAGUCUGACGCAGCCACGCCGCGUGAGUGAAGAAGGCCUUCGGGUUGUAAAGCUCUGUCGGAUGGGACGAACAUCUUCAUAGUGAAUAGCUAUGAGGACUGACGGUACCAUCAAAGGAAGCACCGGCUAACUCCGUG